GGAAUUAUUGGGCGUAAGCGCGCGCAGGUGGUUUCUUAAGUCUGAUGUGAAAGCCCACGCCUCAACCGUGGAGGGUCAUUGGAAACUGGGAGACUUGAGUGCAUAAGAGGAAAGUGGAAUUCCAUGUGUAGCGGUGAAAUGCGUAGAGAUAUGGAGGAACACCAGUGGCGAAGGCUACUUUCUGGUCUGUAACUGACACUGAGGCGCGAAAGCGUGGGGAGCAAACAGGAUUACAUACCCUGGUAGUCCACGCCGUAAACGAUGAGUGCUAAGUGUUAGAGGGUCCCCGCCCUUUAGUGCUGAAGUUAACGCAUUAACCACUCCGCCUGGGGAGUACGGCCGCAAGGAUGAAACUCAAAGGAAUUGACGGCGGCCCGCACAAGCGGUGGAGCAUGUG
rnacentral:rRNA from 1 species